GCAGAACGCGAAGAACCUUACCAGGGCUUGAAUGCAGUGCGACAGGGGCGGAAACGCCCCCUUCUUCGGACGCAUUGCAAGGUGCUGCAUGGUUGUCGUCAGCCCGUGCCGUGAGGUGUCAGGUUAAGUCCUAUAACGAGCGCAACCCCUGCCGUUAGUUGCCAGCGAGUCAAGUCGGGAACUCUAACGGGACUGCCGGUGCAAACCGUGAGGAAGGUGGGGAUGACGUCAAAUCAUCACGGCCCUUACGUCCUGGGCCACACACGUGCUACAAUGGCAGGUGCAAUGGGCAGCCACUGCGCAAGCAGGCGCGAAUCCACAAAACCUGUCUCAGUUCGGAUCGGGGUCUGCAACUCGACCCCGUGAAGCUGGAAUCGCUAGUAAUCGGAUAUCAGCCAUGAUCCGGUGAAUACGUUCCCGGGUCUUGUACACACCG
rnacentral:rRNA from 1 species